rfam:Solanum lycopersicum cultivar Heinz 1706 chromosome 6, whole genome shotgun sequence.
GUUGAGGAGAAUGUCGUCUGGUUCGAGAUCUUUCAUAAGAAAGGUAAAUGAAUGACAAGUUUUCAUAUAUGUAUCGUGAAUGAUUUCGGACCAGGCUUCAUUCCCCUCAAC